AUUGAACGCUGGCGGCAGGCCUAACACAUGCAAGUCGAGCGCGCGUCGGACGCGUGUGUAUUGUAUGUGGAUCUGCCCGAUAGAGGGGGAUAUCUCCUGUAAACGGUGUCUCUUACCCCAUAUUGUCUGAUGAAUCCAUAGGGGAUUAGCUAGUAGGUAAGGUAAUGGCUUACCUAGGCGACGAUCCCUAGCGGGUCUGAGAGGAUGAUCAGCCACACUGGAACUGAGACACGGCCCAGACUCCUACGGGAGGCAGCAGUGGGGAAUAUUGCACAAUGGGCGCAAGCCUGAUGCAGCCAUGCCGCGUGUAUGAAGAAGGCCUUAGGGUUGUAAAGUACUUUCAGUGGGGAGGCGUUACCGACAGAAGAAGCACCGGCUAACUCCGUGCCAGCAGCCGCGGUAAUAC
rnacentral:rRNA from 1 species